CCUCAAGUGACCGGAGAGGCGCAAAAACCUCACCGAGCUCUGUCCCUUUUAUUUGGCACUGAAUGGAAUAAAGUAGCUUUUUUUCUUCACAGGCAAUCCUCAGCGUGGAUGACUUCACGUUGGUGAAAACAAAGGAUACAGGAUUCUUGAAGAGGGAACUGAAGAACAAGGGAGAGCAAUAAGGGUAGGUGCAGAGAUUUGCAAGAACAUUCGUUAUGAUCCAGUGCAUUUUGACCUAAAGAGGAGACAACAAACCAGCCUGGUAUGAGAGACUGUUAUGCACACACACACACACACACACACACACACACACACUUAGGUGAAGAGAAACACACUCAUUUGUUAAACAGAGCAAACACAUCACUCUUUGCUAAGUAGAAGUUUCACUCAUCUCUCCCCCCUCGUUCUCUCAUCUGUCCAUGUCAUCCCUCACUACCCCACUUUCACAUCAGCCAUCAGGUAGUUACACACACACACAUACACACACAUACACACUCCUUCACAUCAGCCAUCAGUUUGUCCGACAGACAUAAAUGUACAUCUUCUCAUUCACGCACAGACCAACUGCUUUACAUCACACGUCACCUAAGAGUCACACACUCACUCACACACACACACACACACACACACACACACACACAUCAGUUAUAUCUUUUAGGCUGAAGGAGAGAGGGGGUGUCAGCAGCAGGAGGGGUUGACAGGAGAGAAGAGGAAGUACACAGGAAGUACAUUAGUUAUCACUCCCAUGUCUUCUCCACCUUUUCACUUCUUAUCACCACCCGAUGUCUCAGACCCCAGUCGAGCUGCUUCUCCUUCUCAUCCCACCCCUUUCCUUUUCUCUUUCUGUCUCUCUCUCUUUCUCACACACACGCCUCUAAAAAUGACUUCCGUGCUCCAUUUUAGUGUCGGGCCCUGGGAUCUAGAUGACACUUGGCAAGCCGUAGAAGCCGCAAGACAACUGGAUGAAAUAUUUAAAUGAAAGACGGCAGGGGUAGAAGAGGUGAAGAAAGGAGGGGGGGAAGACAGAGAAAAAGGAAUAUAGGACAGAGGACGAGGGAAGGAGAGAGUGACGAUUUCAGAUGGUGAGCAGAAUGUGAAGGAUUUCUUUUCUUGGCAAAGAGAGGGCCGUGUGACAAGAAGUGCAGAUGAAUUGGCUUUCACCUACAGAGUAGCCUGAAGAGAAAUAUACCAAUAUAGUAUGAGAUCACAUCGCUUUGUCUUGGAAUCAUCAGGAAGUCUCAGUAUGUGUCAUAGUACUUUCAGCACGGUGCCAGCUCAGCUGCUUAGAGGAGGACAAGAACCUUAAACAUAAUCAAAUGAAAUGGAACUUUGUUACAGAGUGAUUGCAACUUUAGAAUUACAAAGCUCAAUCUGACUUUUUUUUUCACACUAGCAGCUCUGUGAAGGCCCAGACACACCAAACUUACAUCAAGAACUAGUGGUGACAAAGGUCGACUGUUUGCAUCGCCUCACGUCGUCUGUGUCUGUGCCAAAAAGUUGCACUUGAACACACCACAAAAUCUACAGCCAACAGUCAGCUAGCAUGUACAUUCUGUGUCUGUGUGAGAGGAAAUAACUCUCCAUAACAGCAGGUGGCGGUAGUCUGUAUUCGUCAUUCAGAAAAGGAAACUGGAAGAGUGACUGCACGGAUUUAAGAUGCUAGUUAGUAGUUAGCAUAUUACCAACUCAGCCCGAUGUCGAAAGGACAGAUGAUAUUUACCAUGCACUAACGAACAAUAAAACAAACAAUUAUGAACCGUUUUUGCAACAGAGCUCAAUGGCUAAAAAAAAAAAUAACCUUAUCUAAUAUACAUGUAACAGGUCUUGAUUUCAGGCACUCUUGACUUUAGUCGUUUGUAGCUUUCCUUAUUUCUGUUUCUCUUUUUGUGCACUGAACUGCCAACCCGAGGCCAAAAAGCAGCCAAGAAGGGCUGACUUGUGUCCACCGUGCGGGACAAACUGCAAAAACUAGGGUGGUAGAUGUUCACUGAUGGCCCAACUUUGACCAAUGGCUGACAGUCAGCCUGGUGUAUCAGGGCCUUAAGGCUUUAUUAAAUACUAAAUGUUAAGGCUAGCUGACAAACCUUAAUGUGCCAUCAUGCUACUAAUUAAUAGCACUAAACACAAAGUACAAUUCAGGCUGAUUUGCAGAUGUAUGGCCAUAAAUAAAGCUAAAAAUCUGAGCUGAUGAUGGUGCUAGAACAAAAGUCAAAGGCUGACACUUUUGGUCAGUUGGUUGAUUGGUUGGUCGAUAUGCUCUUGUUGGACCGAACUCUUAUUGAUCAGACAAUCACCAGUGUUACUUUUAUAAGGGGCUGUGUGUCCAUCAAAGCUUUUUACCCCAGUUUGGAGUACUAGAGCCUUUUAAAGGUGCAGCAAUUUUUCAGCAGAGACACUUUGGCUGAGUGUGGUCACUAUGAUUCAGAAUAUCCACAGAUGAAAAGAUGUGGACGCAAGGUAAAAUACUUGAUCUGGCCCUUGCCUUGGAUGAAGGAAAGGCUGAGGCAUGCAGGGAGAGAGGACGAACCCGUCAGUCUAUGUGGCCAGCAGUUUUCAUUUUCCUCCAUUGCUGCUGUUGUUCAGCACGUGUACCUGUAGGAUGUAGAGGUUGGUCUUUGUGUUAUUUGCCUUCCUCCACUAUGAUGAUUGGAUGGUUGGGUGAAAAGCAACGGUUACAAGUGCAGCGUUUCACACAAAUUUGAACAUUUUUCAACUCUCAGUGACCAGAAAUUAUUAUCAAUAAAAGUAAAUGAAUAAACAAAAAAUCAUUAGCUCAGUUAGAUCCUCCACUAUCUAGUCCCUCACUUCAAUUUCUGGAAACCAUGAGAGCUUAAGUAUAAUUCAUUCAUCAGUACGGGCACAGUCGUGUUAAACAAGAGAGACGAAAACAAGUGGUGACUUUGAGGCGGUCAUCAAGUCCAAAUAUGUGUCCAUUCCUCUAUUAUGUAGUGUCCAAUGUAUUCCCUCAGUCCGUCAGGGUCCACUGAUCAAAAGGAUCAACAGUUCUCAUUAAAUCAAUCCAUGUUGUGAAUAUUGUCAUGCGGAAUCCAUUGCUAGCUGAGUUCUAACUUUGUUGAUCAAAUGGAUUGCAGUUCUUCCAAAGUAAACAAUAUUUUCUCGUCUUCCUGCACUGUGUUGUUAGAUAUUCUUUUUUUCCUUCAGUAUUUUGCUGUCUAUAAAAUAAAAGUUUCCCCAAACAUUUCUGUGUAUUUUUCACCCUGAGACAGACCCUGGUGUACAGCAUGUACUCUCAGUUUGGAAGGCCGGUGGGCUCUGUCACAUAUCUUUCCAAGCACUGUACAUAUGUUAAAGGCCUUUUUCUCAAAAUCAUGAUUUGAUGACAGUCAUUAUGUAAAGUUCCAUAUCUUACUUAAUAUUUGGAGUGCAAAAACAAUAUUUAUAUCAUUAGAAAGCUUAGAAUAUUCUCUGUUCAAAAUGUCUUUUCGGGUCAAUGUGACCAAAAAUUGGUAGAGCAAGUUGCAAAUGAGUUAAUCAUGACUCAGUUGUGACAAGUUAUUGACAUUGCAUGGUAUUAUUUUUAGUUUUAUGAUUUAAUGGCUCCACAAUCUAAAAACAGAAAAGGUGUUAUCUUCAAAGUCAUUCUAUAACUUUGUUCAACAAGUUCCAACUGUAAAGCCAACCACUGCUCGGUUAGUAUACUUGACUAAUGAAGUCCCGCCUCUUCCUGCCUGCCCUCACUGCUUUUGACAUUAAAUAAGAGCUAAAAUUACAGUAAAACGUUGCAUGAGUAGGAGUUUUGCAAGUUUGAUAUGAACUUUAACUCAUCUUCUGCUGCAGACACAAAAUGAAACAGUGACUGCAUUCAGAGCUCAGACACUGACAGUGAUGACCCAAGCUUGUCCAGGCAAAAACAGUCAUGUAAACUGGGCAAGAAAAAAAACACCAAAAAGAAAAAACGAUGAUGAAUUGAAAAAAACCCCAAAAAAAACCCAACAUAGAACAAGGACACAAAAGAAUCAUCAGAAUUAGGAGAGAAACAUUUUAUGACUUUGUUGUGUAGUUUUUAAUUAAGUUUAUUCAAAAUGUGUAUCUUACAUUAUUACUAAUUUUAAUAACUUGUACAUUAUGUUUUUUUUUUUUUAAAAAAAAAAACAAA